rnacentral:rRNA from 1 species
AGAACGAACGCUGGCGGCAUGCCUAACACAUGCAAGUCGAACGAGACCUUCGGGUCUAGUGGCGCACGGGUGCGUAACGCGUGGGAAUCUGCCCUUAGGUACGGAAUAACUCAGGGAAACUUGUGCUAAUACCGUAUGAUGUCGAGAGACCAAAGAUUUAUCGCCUAGGGAUGAGCCCGCGUAGGAUUAGCUAGUUGGUGGGGUAAAGGCCUACCAAGGCUACGAUCCUUAGCUGGUCUGAGAGGAUGAUCAGCCACACUGGGACUGAGACACGGCCCAGACUCCUACGGGAGGCAGCAGUGGGGAAUAUUGGACAAUGGGCGAAAGCCUGAUCCAGCAAUGCCGCGUGAGUGAAGAAGGCCUUCGGGUUGUAAAGCUCUUUACCCGGGAAGAUAAUGACUGUACCGGGAGAAUAAGCUCCGGCUAACUCCGUGCCAGCAGCCGC